rnacentral:rRNA from 1 species
GAUGAACGCUGGCGGCGUGCCUAACACAUGCAAGUCGAGCGAACAGAUGAGGAGCUUGCUCCUCUGACGUUAGCGGCGGACGGGUGAGUAACACGUGGAUAACCUACCUAUAAGACUGGGAUAACAUCGGGAAACCGGAGCUAAUACCGGAUAAUAUAUUGAACCGCAUGGUUCAAUAGUGAAAGACGGUUUUGCUGUCACUUAUAGAUGGAUCCGCGCCGCAUUAGCUAGUUGGUAAGGUAACGGCUUACCAAGGCAACGAUGCGUAGCCGACCUGAGAGGGUGAUCGGCCACACUGGAACUGAGACACGGUCCAGACUCCUACGGGAGGCAGCAGUAGGGAAUCUUCCGCAAUGGGCGAAAGCCUGACGGAGCAACGCCGCGUGAGUGAUGAAGGUCUUCGGAUCGUAAAACUCUGUUAUUAGGGAAGAACAAAUGUGUAAGUAACUAUGCACGUCUUGACGGUACCUAAUCAGAAAGCCACGGCUAACUACGUG